rnacentral:rRNA from 1 species
AUGACAACCAAACGCUGCUGUAUCAGCACACGACAACCGCGAGCAACAGCCCAGUUGAUCCAGCCGCAGGGGCCGAGUGGAAGGGCCGUCGCUCAACGGAUAAAAGUUACUCUAGGGAUAACAGGCUGAUUUUCCUCAAGCGAUCCCAUCGACGGGAAGGUUUGGCACCGCGGCCCGGGUCCGGGUUGCCCGCGCACGGUGACAAACCGCAUGGGGGAGGCGUGGCGCCGAAUGGGAUGUGGCCG